GAGACUCUGUGCGCGUGCAUAUCAAUAAGCGGAGGAAAAGAAACUAACAAGGAUUCCCCUAGUAACGGCGAGUGAAGCGGGAAGAGCUCAAAUUUGAAAUCUUAAAGGGUUUCCCUUUACGAAUUGUAGUUUAAAGAAGUGUUUUCUGUUGGAGUUUCGGUAAAAGUUCUUUGGAAUAGGACAUCAUAGAGGGUGAGAAUCCCGUAUUUGACCGUUACUUUCCAGCUGUGUGAUACACUUUCAAAGAGUCGGAUUGUUUGGGAAUGCAGUCCAAGAUGGGUGGUAAAUUUCAUCUAAAGCUAAAUAUUGGCGAGAGACCGAUAGCGAACAAGUACCGUGAGGGAAAGAUGAAAAGAACUUUGAAAAGAGAGUUAAACAGUACGUGAAAUUGUCAAAAGGGAAGCGUUUGACACCAGUGUUGUUUAGUUGAAAAUCAAUUCAAUAGUUUUUGAUUCUAAGUAGUAUUGACUUCAUCAGCUUGCUGCUUUCUUCUCAGAAAUUAUUGAAUGCACUUUUCAGUUAACAAGUCAACAUCAAUUUCUUUUGUUGUAAAAGGGUAAGAGGAAGGUGGCUUGGCUUUCGGAUAAAGUGUUUAUAGCCUUGUGCUCUCUGCAAUCGGAGAGAUUGAGGUCUGCAGCGUAGAUCCUUCGGGGUUAGAUACAUUUGGUGCUAAGUUAUAGCUUGUCCAUAGACAACUUGUUGACUAUGUUUAGUCAUUGUAGCUUACUCGCUGAUGCUAUUUUACCUACGCUUAGGAUGUUGAAGAUGUAGCACAUCAU
rnacentral:rRNA from 1 species